CGGGGGCCCGCACAAGCAGUGGAGUAUGUGGUUUAAUUCGAAGCAACGCGAAGAACCUUACCAGGGCUUGACAUCCCUUGAAGCAGCUAGAGAUAGCUGUGUCCUUCGGGACAAGGAGACAGGUGGUGCAUGGUUGUCGUCAGCUCGUGUCGUGAGAUGUUGGGUUAAGUCCCGGCAACGAGCGCAACCCUCGACCUUAGUUGCCAGCAUUCAGUUGGGCACUCUAAGGUGACUGCCGGCUAAAAGUCGGAGGAAGGUGGGGAUGACGUCAAAUCAUCAUGCCCCUUAUGACCUGGGCUACACACGUGCUACAAUGGGCGGUACAACGAGUUGCGAGUCGGUGACGGCGAGCUAAUCUCUUAAAGCCAAUCUCAGUUCGGAUUGUAGGCUGCAACUCGCCUACAUGAAGUCGGAAUCGCUAGUAAUCGCGGAUCAGCACGCCCGCGGUCCGAAUACGUUCCGGGCCUU
rnacentral:rRNA from 1 species